rnacentral:snRNA from 1 species
ACUCGCUUCGGCGGUACAUAUACUAAAAUUGGAACGAUACAGAGUAGAUUAGCAUGACCCCUGCGCAAGGAUAUCAUGUCUGGCAGACGGUUGUAUCUAU